AAAGUCAUCACUGUGCAUCCACAAGCCCGUGAUCUCACUGCUUCUCACUUCGCAUUUGCAAGUUUCUUUGAUUUUGUUUUCUUCUUAAUUAAUUAAUUCAUAGGCAUAAGAAGAAUUUCUUGUUUGAAAUGUUACAUUAGCUGGAUUCCGCAAUUCUCCAGAUAAUACAAAGUGUUUCUUCUCUUCAAAUAUGGACGACAACAUCAAACACUUUCAAAAGAAAUUAACAGAAUUGGAACUCCAAGCUGAACAUCUUCUUCUGGUUCGACAUCAGGAACUGAUCUGUUUGUGGGAAUUCCAUUUCAUGCUGCUCAUACUAUAUUGGAAACAGAUCAAACAGAACUUGACUUUGAGGCCAAGAAACUACAGAGCACUGUGAAGGAAAAAUCGUAUCUUAUAUCAGAAACAGGUGCUCUCGCAGACUUGAUAAGUCCAGGAGUGCUUAAGUCACUUGUAACCUUAAAUGAUAAACCAAAGUAAGAUGUCUUGUGCUUACUAUGGUGUGUUACGGUGUCUUCUGGAAUAUACUUGAGGCAAGUGAGUAUCAUGCAUUAUCUCUACCUAUCAGAGUUUACUUAUUCUUUCUACAUGCACCAACAAGUAACCUAUGCAGAAGUUUCUGAGUCGUGAAGUUUUAGAAGCUGCUCAUAAGACUUAAUCAUACUGAGUGAAGGGUACAAAAUUAUGAGUCAUACAAACUUCAAUUUGUUUGUAAUGGAGGCUUAUUAUUAUAAUGACAUCUUAUUUAAAUUUGAAUUGAUUCUC